GGAGCCCGUAAUAGUGGAAUUUCAGGCGUCAGCCACAAGACUGGGGGUAACAGAUCAUCAGAUGACGAUUUCUAAAUCAGGAAGAAAAUUAGUUCUUUCGUGACUUAAGAAGUGACCUGAAAUAGGAGGAGUCAAAUUACAGUAGUAGAAGUGACAGUUUUCAGUUAUGUUCCUAUACCCUUUUGGAAAAUGGAGGGAGUGAAGACUGCCACCAUGUCCUGCCCGCUCUCAGCCGCACACGGUGGGGUGUUGCUCCAGGACCUUGCUUCAGACGUUCAUAUAUAAUGGCCUGCCUCAGGGAACCCUGCCCACCUGCGAAUGGCUGCAAGAAAAAAGAAACUAACACAUCCCCUCUCCGAGGCUGGUCAUUCCAGAUGUUAUGCAAGACUGAUGGCCCUUUGACUUUACUUCCUCACCACCUCUCCCUCUCUGAUGCUAUGAAAGAAACUGGCAUCCAGAUCCAGAUAAGAUGGUUUUUCAGAGACACUAGUCUGCCAUCUUCUUGGUCUGCUGGCUUUCCGAAUAAAGUCC